AAAAACUCAAUUCCUGGGUUUCCGUGUCUAACAUUUGACCGUUCGUCUUAUUUAAAAAAAUUAUAAAAAAAUUUUAAAAGAUAAGUCAUGCAUAAAGUAUUAUUCAUGUUUUAUCAUCUAACAAUAAUGAAAAUACUAAUCAUAAAAAAAUUUUAUAUAAGACGGACAGUCAAACGUUGAACACAAAAACCGAAGAAUUCGGUCUUU
rnacentral:pre_miRNA from 1 species